rnacentral:rRNA from 1 species
UACGUAGGGGGCAAGCGUUGUCCGGAAUCAUUGGGCGUAAAGCGCGUGUAGGCGGCCUUGUAAGUCCGUUCUGAAAGCCCGGGGCUCAACCCCGGGAGGCGGAUGGAUACUGCAAGGCUCGAGUCCGGAAGAGGCAAGUGGAAUUCCCGGUGUAGCGGUGAAAUGCGCAGAUAUCGGGAGGAACACCGAUGGCGAAGGCAGCCCCUGGGUCAAGAUUGACGCUCAUGCACGAAAGCGUGGGGAGCAAACAGG